rnacentral:rRNA from 1 species
GACGAACGCUGGCGGCGUGCUUAACACAUGCCAGUCGAACGGAAAGGCCCCUUUGGGGGUACUCGAGUGGCGAACGGGUGAGUAACACGUGAGUACCCUGCCCUUGACUUCGGGAUAACUUCAGGAAACUGGGGCUAAUACCGGAUAGGAAUCCUUGCUGCAUGGUGGGGGUUGGAAAGCUUCGGCGGUUUUGGAUGGACUCGCGGCUUAUCAGCUUGUUGGUGGGGUAGUGGCUUACCAAGGCUUUGACGGGUAGCCGGCCUGAGAGGGCGACCGGCCACAUUGGGACUGAGAUACGGCCCAGACUCCUACGGGAGGCAGCAGUGGGGAAUAUUGCACAAUGGGCGGAAGCCUGAUGCAGCAACGCCGCGUGCGGGAUGACGGCCUUCGGGUUGUAAACCGCUUUCAGCAGGGGCGAAGCUUGUGGUGACGGUACCUGCAGAAGAAGCACCGGCUAACUACGUG